rnacentral:rRNA from 1 species
GCUCAGAAACUUAAAUGAAUGACGGGGCCCGGCACAAGCGGUGGAGUAUGUGGUUUAAUUCGAUGCAACGCGAAGAACCUUACCUGGUCUUGACAUCCCGGAGACCCUUAGGAAACUAGGGGGUGCUUCCAUCUGGAAGAAUCUGGAGACAGGUGCUGCAUGGCUGUCGUCAGCUCGUGUCGUGAGAUGUUGGGUUAAGUCCCGCAACGAGCGCAACCCUUGCCUUUAGUUGCCAGCAGUUCGGCUGGGCACUCUAAAGGGACUGCCGGUGUUAAACCGGAGGAAGGUGGGGAUGACGUCAAGUCCUCAUGGCCUUUAUGACCAGGGCUACACACGUACUACAAUGGCCGAUACAAAGGGCAGCGACACUGCGAGGUGAAGCCAAUCCCGUAAAAUCGGUCUCAGUCCGGAUUGGAGUCUGCAACUCGACUCCAUGAAGUUGGAAUCGCUAGUAAUCGUGGAUCAGCAUGCCACGGUGAAUACGUUCCCGGGCCUU